rnacentral:lncRNA from 1 species
AUUACUAGGAUUUGUUUAGGGUUUGGUUUAGGAUUUAGGAUUUGGUUAGGAUUUGAUUUAGGAUUUGAUUAGGAUUUGGUUUAGAAUUGAGGAUUUGGUUUUAGGUUUAAGAUUUGAUUUAGGAUUUAGGAUUUGAUUUAGAGUUUGGAUAGAGUUUGAUUUAGGGUUUGGUUAAGAUUUGAUUUAAAAUUUAGGAUUUUAUUAGGAUUUAUUUAGGGUUUAAGAAUUAAUUAAUUUUGGCCUAAAGUUUGAAUGAAGUCCAAUAGGAUUUUAACUAGAAUUAAAUUAAGAUUGAAUUGAA